rnacentral:rRNA from 1 species
GGCAGACGGGUGAGUAACAUGUAGGUAUCUGCCCUUUGGCCUGGAAUAACACGAGGAAACUUGUGCUAAUACCGGAUAAGUCUUUACAGAGAAAGCUUUAUGCACCAUUGGAUGAGCCUGCACUUGAUUAGUUAGUUGGUAGGGUAAUAGCCUACCAAGACUUUGAUCAAUAGCUGAUUUGAGAGGAUGAUCAGCCACAUUGGGACUGAGACACGGCCCAAACUCCUACGGGAGGCAGCAGUGGGGAAUCUUGCACAAUGGAGGAAACUCUGAUGCAGCGAUGCCGCGUGAGUGAAGAAGGCCCUUGGGUUGUAAAGCUCUUUCGUCGGGGAAGAAAAUGACUGUACCCGAAUAAGAAGGUCCGGCUAACUUCGUGCCAGCAGCCGCGGUAAUACGA